AUUGAACGCUGGCGGCAGGCCUAACACAUGCAAGUCGAGCGAGCGGCGGACGGGUGAGUAAUGUAUGGGGACUGCCCGCUAGAGGGGGAUAACUACUGGAAACGGUGGCUAAUACCGCAUACCUUCGGAUAACCAAUAUGGGAUUAGCUAGUAGGUAAGGUAAUGGCUUACCUAGGCAACGAUCACUAGCUGGUCUGAGAGGAUGAUCAGCCACACUGGGACUGAUACAAGGCCCAGACUCCUACGGAGGCAGCAGUGGGGAAUAUUGCACAAUGGGCGCAAGCCUGAUGCAGCCAUGCCGCGUGUAUGAAGAAGGCCCUAGGGUUGUAAAGGACUUUCAGGCGGGAGGCGUUACCGACAGAAGAAGCACCGGCUAACUCCGUGCCAGCAGCCGCGGUAAUUC
rnacentral:rRNA from 1 species